AAAAAAAAAACAAAAAAAAGGGAAGGACAAGGAGGAAAGAGAAAAAAGAAGAAAGAAAGGGAAGGGAAGGGAAGGGAAGGGAAGGGAAGGGAAGGGAAGGGAAGGGAAGGGAAGGGAAGAGGUGUCACAUCCCUUCAAGGGAUGGGCCCUUAAGUGAUGUGACACCCUAUCCCUUUGGUCCCUCAGCUGGCUGUGAAGGAGCUGUGGGGACUGACACCUCUGCCUGUGGCUGAAAACUCACCUCAUCGCUCGGCCCCUCAGGGUCACUGGAGGAGCAUCUGCUGAGGCCACGGUUUGGGGAGUGCUGAUCAUCAGCUGGCGUUGUGUCCACCACGUCCACCACAUCGUGUCCAGACAUGCGGGAGGAGGGUGAGUGAGAGCAAAGUAACCACACAGCUGCCUGGCGAGGAGCAAGGGGUCACUGCGGGAAACGAGAAGCAACUUAUCUGUAGAAGUGAUACCUUGGUUGCAGUACUCUUCAUCACUCAGAAUGGUUUUUCGGUACUAGAAGUAUGAGAAGAUGAUGACACUAAGAUGAGAACUGAAGAUAUAUUUGAUCAGAAAAAAAUAUGAAGAUUUCAGAGCUUACAAAACAAAUGUGAUGAUUUUCUUGGCCCCAUCCACAAAAACAUUUCCCACUGGAAAACUUCUGCAACCUUGAUGAACUCCAGAAGCAGUAGUUGUGUGUGCGUUUACAAAAAUCUUAAUGCGUGAGCAACUUGUCAGAAUGGUGUCCACCUGAAUUCAGGGACAGCUGUACAGCUUUGCAAACCUGAGAAGCACCAAAUGGGAGAAGGGCAUGUGAAGUAUUUUUAUUUGUGUACAUCUAGCUGAAAGGUUUAUUUAUUCUUGUAUUUAGGCCAAGCACAAGAGAAGCGAGCCUAUCUUACCUGAUAUGUACUAUAUUAGUGUGAUCGCUGUGCUGGAAAUGACCAAUUUUCUUUUGCAAUAUUGUUCCUAUAGUCAGCUGCCAAAAAAAAAAUGUUAAAAUUUUGUCAUAUUUUCUGCUCAAAUUUUUGUAAUAUCUAUAUUGCAUACAUGUAACUGCAGUAUAUACGUUGGUGACAAUGGCUUUUUGUAUGUGAUGUGAUAUAUAUGUUAAACAUCUUGGAUAAGUAAGUUGUUGGCCUCCGUAUUCAAUAAAAGCAUACAAAUACUGAAGUUUGUAGUUUUC
rnacentral:lncRNA from 1 species